UACGUAGGGUGCGAGCGUUGUCCGGAAUUAUUGGGCGUAAAGGGCUCGUAGGCGGUUUGUCGCGUCGGGAGUGAAAAUCCAGGGCUUAACUCUGGACUGGCUUCCGAUACGGGCAGACUAGAGGUAUGCAGGGGAGAACGGAAUUCCUGGUGUAGCGGUGAAAUGCGCAGAUAUCAGGAGGAACACCGGUGGCGAAGGCGGGUCCCUGGACAACACCUGACACUGAGGCACGAAAGCUAGGGGAGCAAACAGG
rnacentral:rRNA from 1 species